GACGAACGCUGGCGGCGUGCUUAACACAUGCAAGUCGAACGGAAAGGCCCUGCUUUUGUGGGGUGCUCGAGUGGCGAACGGGUGGGUAACACGUGAGUAACCUGCCCUUGACUUUGGGAUAACUUCAGGAAACUGGGGCUAAUACCGGAUAGGAGCUCCUGCUGCAUGGUGGGGGUUGGAAAGUUUCGGCGGUUGGCGAUGGACUCGCGGCUUAUCAGCUUGUUGGUGGGGUAGUGGCUUACCAAGGCUUUGACGGGUAGCCGGCCUGAGAGGGUGACCGGCCACAUUGGGACUGAGAUACGGCCCAGACUCCUACGGGAGGCAGCAGUGGGGAAUAUUGCACAAUGGGCGGAAGCCUGAUGCAGCAACGCCGCGUGCGGGAUGACGGCCUUCGGGUUGUAAACCGCUUUCGCCUGUGACGAAGCGUGAGUGACGGUAAUGGGUAAAGAAGCACCGGCUAACUACGUG
rnacentral:rRNA from 1 species